rnacentral:tRNA from 1 species
GGGCGGGUAGUCUAGCUGGUUAUGACGCCACACAAAGAAGAGGCGAAGUUGACACCGUGGAGGACCCAGGUUCAAAUCCUGGCCCGCCCACCA